AAGAAAUAGUUUGCAGUAAGUUGACCGAGAGGCUCCUGUCAAAUGGUUGAAGGGCAAAACGUGAGAUAGAUGUAUGUGAUGACAAGACUGUACUGCUUUCGAUGAUUGUCAAAACGCUUUACCUGAAAUUAGCAUGACUAUCUUUCAUUCAAUAUUCGACCAUACUUGUAUGCUUUAAAGUCUAUUUUUCCAUAUUGUUCAGAUAUAUUUGACACGUUGACCGCUUAGAUACCAUUGGUUUUUUGACAGCUAAGGUAUCAAUGACUUGUUGUAAGUGUAGAAAUUAAUGAAUAGCGACUGUUAACAUAUUUGUGACAGGUUGAGCGCUCACAAGUAAAUACUACCAUGACAGUCAACAACUUUUUGACAGUUUAAACGUUUACCUCUCUUUGAGCACCUGGAGUGUAUAGCGACUUCUGCUGCUGACUGUACAAGACUAAAGUCAGACCGUGAAAAGUCUGCAGCGAUUUUGAUAGUCCACGCAGUGCAAGUGUCAUUUUAAACGUCAAACUUCUAUGAAAUUAUCACGUAUAAAUAACACUUACACUGCGUGGGCUAUCAAAUCCGCUGCAGACUUUUCUUGGAGCAACUCUACAAUGUUACCUACGAACAAAUAAAAAUAAUAAUACCUAAGGUAGCAAGAAGAGUAAAAAUAUUAAUGAAGACACAUGUUUAUAGUUUAUAAAUAAUGUUUUUGACCCUAAGAAAUAUUAAUAAAAUAUCUGCAAAUA